ensembl:lncRNA
CAAAACUCUUAAUGCUUUAUUCUCAAGUGCUGGGUUGAAAACUGUUUUGAAAGCCUUUUAAAAUGUAUAUCUUUAUAAAGUAAUAUUCAGGAUGAUGAUGGAAAUUGUUUAUAUUGUUAUGAUAAAAAUGACAAUAUAGUGUUACCCAGUGUAUUUAAUGAUUUAUUUGAAGAAGGAGAUGGGAGGAAGACUCUCCUACCACUUUAUCUUUUGAAAUUUUCAGUUUAUUGGCUGUUUAAAAAUGAAUAUUUCAGCCAGUGGAUUUUUUUCAGUCAUUUAAAUAAUUUUGGACAUAAUUUGAUCUGAUUAUUUGGUUCUUUCUAUUCCUUUUAAUUUAACCUUCAGAAUACUGAAUCCAGGCUCGGCUUGGAGCAGAGCUGCUGACACGAGGGGUAAGUUUGUCAGCAGCUCUCACAUCCCCGUGACCCUGCCCUGCGGACUCACUGUUCACGCUCAGAGUUCUCUUAAAAUCUGUGUCCAUGUGAGUGCAGGGCUAUACAGUGAUACAUAUGUAGAGAGGAAACAUUCUCCAUAAUUCUUCAGGUUAUAAAAAAAUCUAUCCAAAAAGUGUUUUGUAGAAUAUGCUGUUUUACCCCUCCCUUCACAUAGAUAAUAGUGAUCUUUAUUUCUUGCAUGAAGUGUAGGCAGAACGUGGCUGGGGGCACAGACUUCUAAUUAGAUUCUGUUGUUGCUGCAGCAGAAUGUGCCAUGCAAUGCAAAAAGGAAUUACCCGUAUGUGUACCCUAAAUGGUCACCUCCCCUCUUUUCCCUGUGCACUGUGGGCAUGCCAGACCUCCACACUUCUGCAGGUCCUGCUCCUAGAGCUUGGCAUCCGGCUGCCAUUCCUAGUCCUGUCAGUCCAUAGGCUGUGGAGUUCCUGAAUUAGCUCUUAUCCUAGGUGGAGUCACAUCAAGCUUUUCCUUACCCUUUUCCAGGGGAAGCUAUGGGGUGGGUGAGGAGGAAAUUCAGAGUGCUUUUACUUUGCUGAUAAUACUGGAAUCUGCCUAUGACAGGACACAGCAAAUUAUAAUAUAAUCAAAUAUAAACCAGAACCACAGCUACCUCUAAGUAGUGUUUCCUCAAGCACAAAGCUCUCAGGCAUAUGCGACCUUCUUUCACAAAGGGUCUCUGAUCUCUUGAGCAUCAGCGAGUUUCAGAAGUGACUUUUUUGUACUCUUCCAGUUCCCUUUGCACCCUUUCCCACUCCAUACUGUGCUUACGUGACUCUUCCGAGAAGCCAGAUUCAGUCAGUGUUAGCUGGAGAUUCUGGGGGUUAAAGAGAACCUAGAAUGGCAGGGGAAGAAGAGCUCCAGUUUUAAAGUCACCUGACUGAGCAAAUCUGUACUUUUGUGGGAAAUGACAUUUUGUAGGAAAUGGGAUGAUGCGUUAAAUGCUUUUCUUACAUCAAAGCCGUAACAGUUAAUGCCUUAUUGUUGCUGUUGUGUGGAGAACAUCGUUUCCGUAAUGCUUUAAUAUCUCUGCUGUGAAGCUGGGGAUAGAGUGUCCAUCAGUUUUAGAUGUUGGCUGCAGCUUUUUGUGAUUCUUUGCAGUGUAAUAAGCUCACAAGCUAAACUUCAGAAAGAAUUUUGUUUCAGAUUAUGCCUCUUGUCUAUUUGGGAUCAGUAUUGUCUUUUCAAUCAUGGGAUUGACAAAC